CCUACGGGAGGCAGCAGUGGGGAAUAUUGGACAAUGGGCGCAAGCCUGAUCCAGCCAUGCCGCGUGAGUGAUGAAGGCCCUAGGGUUGUAAAGCUCUUUCACCGGAGAAGAUAAUGACGGUAUCCGGAGAAGAAGCCCCGGCUAACUUCGUGCCAGCAGCCGCGGUAAUA
rnacentral:rRNA from 1 species